rnacentral:lncRNA from 1 species
UGCAAAGACACCCCAACUCUAGAUCCAGACAAAGAAGGACUCAAGAACCAAAGUACACAAAAGAGGCUGUUUUGAUCCCAAAGAGGUAAAAUCCAUAUUCAGAUUCAGGCAUACAUGUCACUCUCGUGAUGGACAUCAGAAAUGGGUCUGUGAAAACCACAACAAUGAGACAAAUAUACAGCAUGGAAAAAAAAAAAGCAAAUUGCCACUGAGAG